CAAAUUGUGAAAGCAAGAAAGCAAAUGAGAUGGAAUUAUAUGCACUAGAGUAUGGCAUCCCCAUGCACUCAAUUUUUUCAAAUACCCAAAAUUGUUUUCCUGCACCCAAUGUCUUCCAUGCUAUAGUUGCUCUAUAAUAUCAUUGUCAAGAAGCCCACUCUUAGUAUAUGCCAAACUGACCUGUAAAUCAGACAAAAUAUUAAGUUAGUUCUCAAAUCGAUUCAAUUUGUCCCAUGGAUUCUCCACUCAACCCAUCUCUAAGGACCAAAUGAAUUGUUGGCUCAAUUGCAACCAUUAUCGAACUGAAGCACGUCCCCCAAAUGCCGCCACCAAAGCCAUUCUCUUCAUUUUCCUCAGCGCUGCUUUCUUCACGAAACCAGAGACCCGUAGAUUGAACUAUGCAAUCUGUUGAGUGAAGAACCAAAACGGAUUAAACGGAUGUUGCAAUCCGUUGAGGGAUAUGAAAAAUAGAAAUAAAGAGAUGGAAUAAAGGGUAAAAGGGGAAGGGGAGGUGGAGGGAGCAAAUGGUGGAGGUGCAGCGAGCAACACCCUUUAUUUUUCUUUUGAAAUAUUUAUUUGUUUAUUUGAAUUGAUUGAGGCCGGAAAUUGAAUAAGAAGAAUGGCCAUAGGUUUAGGAGGGAAGAAAGAAAAAAAGAGCAGAAAAGAAAUGAAGGAAGAAAGGUAGUGAAUAGUAGAUGGCAAAAGCAAACCUAUCGAGUCUCAUUCACGAACUCCGUGAACGCAUAGCAGCCUCCUCUUCCUCUCCCAUACCCAACAACCCCUCAGACGACGACGCUUUGGAGGUCAGGUUCCGUACUGUUCUCCCCAAUCUUCUCCACGUCUGCGUUCUUCCUUCUUCCACCUCCUCCGGUACCGACAACCAGAGAGAAGUGACUGCUGUGGUGAAGCUUAUCUCUCACACCGCCAGAAACUUCCCCGGAGUCUUCUACCACGGCAAGCCCUCCGCCGUUUCCCCGGUCAUUGCGCGGAUUCUCCCUUUCUUUGCCGAACCUCUCUUUCGAUCUCGCCACGGCGUCUUCUUCGAAGCUCUUGGUUCUCUUCUCGCGCUGCUUCGCUCGGGAGCCAGAGAUGCUUACCGCCAGUUUUUCGUCGAUUCCAUGUUGCUCAUUCAAGAUAUUUUGUACGUGGCUUCGCUCAAUGUUAAUGGAUCCUCCAGGGUGAAGGUCAAGUGUUUUUGUGAGUUCUUUUCUGGAGUUGAAGACCUUCCGUCCUCCAACAAGCCUGCUGAUGACUGUGGUUUACUGGUUGACCUCACUGGUCGCAGCCGAUGGCAACCGUUUGCAACGUGGAUUUUGAAACUUCUCAGUAAAUGCCUUACUGAAGGAACGCUCUAUGUUGAAGGAUUGAUCAACGCGUCCUUUAUUUCUGCUGCCUGCUCUCUUUUGUGCUAUGGGGAUGCUGACCUGCAUAUGGCAUGCUUUGACUUUGUACACACCAUUGGAACGGUGACAAACUAUGAUCUCAUUCCUUAUCAGAAUUUAAUCCUGUCAAUAACCACUAUCUUGAGUAUCGACAAGGAGGGGCUUCCUGUUUUCAGAAACAUGGCUUAUGAUUUGUCGAUGGGUAUUUGCCUUAAUGCACUCUACUCUAGCUGUCCAGAAGAUAUUAUCAAACUAACAGCUUCUGAUUUAGUUAGUGUCUUCCUUCAAUCGAUGGGGAGAACGAAAAACCAGCAACUUAAGGUUGCAUUAUGCAGUGCCUAUGCUAGGAUUGCUCAAGUUUGUCCCCCUCGUAUCUGGAAGCCAGAAUAUCUCAUAUCUGCACUUUAUCAUUCGGAACCAUGUUUGCCUCUGAUAGAGUGCUUCGAGGUAGCUCUGUCUACUCUUGGCCCACAUCUUGUUCGGGGAAUCCUAGGAAACAAUGACGAUUUAACUUUGUUAGCAUCGGAAGAUAAGUCAGUUGAAGGCACAAGGCUUGGCCACAAGAGGUCCAUUCAGGAUAUGGAUAAUUUAAGUAUCAAGAGACAAAAAUUGAAUGAAGAAGUUGUGGUUGAAGAUGACAGUCUUGAUGUGGAAUGUAAAAGUAGUUAUGUAGUCACUUGCCAAACAAUAGAAGGUUAUGCUAGCCAUAUGAAUAAAUCUAUUCUUUCAUUUGUUGAUUCAUUAAAUGCUCCUGUUGUCAGACCGGGUUCUUUGAGGCCAGAAAUUGCUUUAUCUGCACUUAGCAUUCUGUGUAUUAACUUCUCUGUUUAUCCAGAGAUUGAUCUGUCUCUCAGAAUCUUUCAGCAGAUGCUUGCAUGGCUUCCAUGGAUAGCUGAUAAGGCAAAACAAGGAAACUCAAUUACUGUAGAUAUUUCCACGUACCUGGAAGGAAUUCACAGCGUAUUGCUUGUGCAAAAUGGAUCUCUCAAAGAACACAACCCUUUAUAUGAUGAGAAUUACCAUGUAGACCUCAUACUUGUGCUUAAAAUUCCCUGGACUCAUAUGCCUGUUGCUAUUGAUAAUCGUUCUCCAUGCAAAACAAAAUGCCUUUCUCUUCAAGUAGUAUCAAAGCUAGGCCCAAGCUUGAACGAAAAAGUUGUUCUUGAAGUUUUAGAUCUGGGUCUCCAUGAUGAAGCUGAAGAAGUCAGAACUGAAGCCGUCAUUUCUAUGCCAGUAAUGGUUUUGUGGUCUGCUCUCGAUGUUCCAUCUCCUGUUUUUGAAAGGAUGGAGUAUGUAAAAAGAGAUAAUGAGAAGGUUAAGAAAAUUCUUCCCACAUCUCUUGGUCUUCUAUCAUGUCUUUAUGGAUGCAAGAGAUCUAUAUCUGGUUCAAAUAUAAACGAAUGCAAAUUAUUUGUAAAUGUGAAAAGUGGAAGAACAUGUUCAACAGUAGAUUGUUUACUGCAAGGCUUCUUCUGUUCAAAAUGCAAUGGCAGUUUUAUUUGUAAUCUGGAUAAGAAGCAUGCUCCAAUCGUUCUCCAAUCUGGUGCACAUGAAGCAGAUUCAGAUUUUAGUUUUGACAAUAUUUUCAUUCAACUUCAAUCUUUGUUUUUUGAACUUCUAUUUGACGAGUCAUCAGAAGAUGUCCAACUUUCCUGUGUGAGAGUUAUUCAUCAGAUCCUUGCACAUGGAGCCUCAGAUAUUCUUCUGAAAACAAGAUUUAAGUGGAUAAAAUGUGUGGAGUAUCUUCUUACUUGCAGGAGUAAGGAGUUGAGAGAAGCAUUUUGCAGUCAGAUAAGAUUCUUUGUGGAUAAUCUUAUUUUGAGUUCAAUUUUUGCUGGAGAUGCUGAUAAAAGCAAGGAAGAAAAAUUUCUAGAUACACUUAAAAAUGCCAUGACCUUAGCUGGUAGUCCACAUAUAUUGGAGACAUUAAUGGAAUGUAUAGCAGAAAUAAUGGUUGCUGUCAAUAUGGAUAGCAAACUUUUCAUAUGUUCUCUUAUACUGCUUGUUGAUCAACUAGAUAGCACACACAUGACUGUGAGAAUGAAUGCAUCCAGGUUAAUACACAGAUCUUGCUAUUUCCAUCUUAAAGGAGGUCUUGAGUUAAUUCUUUCAAAAGAUGUCUGUAUUUGUACUGAACUGUAUGAUUAUCUCUCUGAGAGACUUGCCAGCCGCCCAGUCUUAGUGAGGGAGUUUGCAGAAGCUGUUUUUGGUGUUGAAACCAAAGAACUUGUCAAGAAAAUGAUUCCUUUUGUUCUCCCAAAGCUUGUGGUGUCUCACCAUAAUAGUCAAACAGUUGGCACCUUAUAUGAAUUAGCCAAGUGUUUGAACACUGACUUGGUGCCUUUGAUAGUUAAUUGGCUACCAAAAGUUCUUGCUUUUGCGCUUCAUCAAACUGAUGACCAACAAUUAAUUACUGCUGUUCAGUUUUACCAUGUACAGACUGGUUCUGACAAGCAGGAAAUAUUUGCGGCUGCUUUGCCUGCUCUUCUAGAUGAACUUAUAUGCUUUACAGAUGGUGGCAAUUCAGAUGAGAUAGCUAGAAGGUUAGUAAGAGUGCCUGAUAUGAUUAAAGACAUUGCCAAAGUUCUCACUGGUGCAGAAGAUCUCCCUCUGUUUUUGAGGAAUCAUUUUGUAGGUCUUCUUAACAGUAUAGACAGAAAAUUGCUCCAUGCUGAUGAUUUUAUGCUGCAGAGGCAAUCACUGAAUCGUAUUGAGUUGUUGAUUAGAAUGAUGGGUCCUCAUCUUAGUACUUAUGUGCCAAAAUUGAUGGUUCUUCUCAUGCAUGCUAUAGCUAAAGAACCACUGCAAACGGAGGGUCUGUCUGUCUUGCAUUUUUUUAUAAAGCAAUUAUCUAAAGUAUCUCCAUCUAGCAUUAAGCAUAUUAUUUCUCAAGUUUUUGCUUCCCUCCUUCCCUUCCUGGAGAGAGACAAAGAAAAUCCCUCCAUACAUUUGGACAAGGUGGUAACCAUUUUAGAAGAACUUGUUCUUGAUAACAGGGUUAUCCUAAAGCAGCAUAUAUGUGAGUUUCCCCUAUUGCCCAGCAUUCCUGCAUUGGCAGAAGUGAACAAAGCAAUUGAGGAUGCUCGUGGAACUAUGACUUUGAAGAACCAAUUGCGAGUUGUCAUUGAUGGUUUAAAUCAUGAGAACUUAAAUGUGAGGUAUAUGGUAGUGUGUGAGCUUCGCAAGCUUCUGGGCUCAAGAUGGAAGGAUGUUACUGAUUUGAUAACUGCUGAAGCGGGUUCAGACUUGGAUGUUUUGAGUUCUUUGAUAACAUCAUUAUUAAGAGGAUGUGCAGAAGAAUCAAGGACUGCGGUUGGGCAGCGGUUGAAGUUAGUCUGUGCUGAUUGUCUUGGAUCCCUUGGUGCUGUUGACCCUGCAAAAGUAAGAGGGUUUUCAUGCCAGCGUUUUAAAAUUCAAUGCUCUGAUGAUGACCUCAUAUUUGAACUGAUCCACAAACAUCUAGCUCGAGCAUUUAGAUCUGCACCUGAUACUGUUAUUCAAGACUCUGCUGCAUUGGCUAUACAGGAGUUGCUAAAAUUUGCUGGUUGUGAGGCAUCACUGGAUGAAAAUGCUCCAACUACUACAUCACAAGCACAAAAGGAUGAGGGUAGUUGCAAUGCUGUUGUAUCUAAGACCAAGAGAACUAAUGGUAGUAAAGGGAUGAAUAAUAGGGGCCAUAAAUUAUGGGAUCGGUUCUCUAAUUAUGUGAAAGAGAUAAUAGCCCCAUGCUUAACAUCUAGGUUUCAGCUUCCUAAAGUAGCUGCUGAUUCAACAUCCGCUGGUCCUAUUUACCGCACAUCUAUGUCCUUUAGAAGGUGGAUAUUCUUUUGGAUAAGAAAACUAACUGCACAUGCUACUGGAUCUCGUGCAAGCAUCUUUAAUGCUUGUCGUGGUAUUGUGCGUCAUGAUAUGCAAACAACCAUAUAUUUACUUCCAUACCUGGUUCUCAAUGCUGUUUGUCAUGGUACUCAGGAGGCACGUCAAGGCAUAGCAGAAGAAAUCCUGUCUGUUCUUGAUGCAGCUGCGUCAGAGAAUAGUGGUGCUUCAGUUCAUGGAUUCAGUGGUGGGCAAAGUGAAGUUUGUAUUCAGGCAGUAUUUACUCUUCUUGAUAACCUAGGACAAUGGGUGGAUGAUGUUGAACAGGAGCUUGCCCUUUCCAUUUCUCAGUCAUCAGUUUCUAAGCAACAAAAGUCAAAGGUCCAAAAGUCAAGUUCAUUUACAGAUCAGGUCCAACCCCAUUUACAGUGUAAAUAUGUCGCAGAGCUUCUGUCUGUGAUUCCAAAGGUGACUCUUGCUAGAGCCUCCUUUAGGUGUCAGGCUUACGCAAGGUCCUUGAUGUACUUUGAGUCAUAUGUGAGGGAAAAGUCAGGUUCUUUUAACCCUGCCUCUGAGAGGAGUGGCAUCUUUGAGGACCAAGAUGUUUCACAUCUAAUGGAAAUUUAUAGCUGUUUGGAUGAGCCAGAUGGACUAUCUGGCUUGUCUUGUUUGAGUAAAUCUUUGAGGUUACAAGAUCAGCUGUUAAUGAACAAAAAGGCUGGGAAUUGGGCUGAUGUUUUAACUUCUUGUGAGCAAGCUUUGCAGAUGGAGCCUACCUCGUUUCAGAGGCAUUCUGAUGUCCUUAACUGUUUACUAAAUAUGUGCCACCUUCAGGCCAUGGUCACUCAUGUUGAUGGUUUAAUUUCUAGGUUUCCUCAGUACAAGAAAUCAUGGUGCAUGCAAGGUGUGCAGGCAGCCUGGAGACUUGGCCGGUGGGAUUUGAUGGAUGAGUACCUUGGUGGAGCUAAAGAAGAAGGUUUAGUUUGUAGUGGCUCUGAAAGUAAUACUUCAUUUGACUUGAAUGUUGCAAUGAUUCUCCAGGCAAUGAUGAAAAGGGACCGUUUCUCUGUAGCUGAAAAAAUUGCUUUAUCCAAGCAGUCACUGAUUGCUCCCCUUGCUGCUGCAGGAAUGGAUUCUUACAUGCGAGCCUACCCAUUUGUUGUUAAACUGCACUUUCUGAGGGAAUUGGAGGACUUUCAUUCUCUUCUGGGUAAUAACUCUUUCUUAGAGAAGUCUUUUCACUUAGAUGAUCAAGCUUUCUCUAAAUUACUGGACAACUGGGACAAUCGACUCAGGUUUACACAGUCAUCACUCUGGGCGAGGGAGCCCCUCCUGGCUUUCAGAAGACUGGUAUUCGGUGCAAGUGGCCUUGGUGCACAAGUUGGGAAUUGCUGGCUUCAAUAUUCAAAACUGUGUCGCCUGGCUGGUCAUUAUGAAACAGCCAAUAGAGCAAUUUUGGAAGCUCAGGCCUCUGGUGCCCCUAAUGUUCACAUGGAAAAAGCAAAACUUCUUUGGAGCACACGGCGGUCUGAUGGAGCCAUUGCAGUGUUGCAACAAUCUCUCUUGGACAUGCCUGUUGAGGUUUUAGGUUCUGCUGCAAUAUCAUCUAUUACUAGCUUGUCUCUCUUACCACUAAAUACACAGCCUAUUCGUGAAAGUCAGACCAUGAAUGAAAAUAGAAACAUUGCGAAGACCCUUCUUCUGUACUCAAGGUGGAUCCAUUACACUGGGCAGAAACAGAAGGAAGAUGUAAUAAGUCUUUAUACCAGGGUGAGGGAACUGCAACCUAAAUGGGAGAAAGGGUACUUUUAUAUUGCUAAGUAUUGUGAUGAGGUGCUUGGUGAUGCCAGGAAACGGCAGGAGGAGAAUUCUGAACUUGGUCCUAGACCGAUUCCUUCAGCAACUGUUGUUGGCUCAUCGAACCUGAAUGGUGAGAAGCGAUGGUGGUCCUAUCUUCCUGAUGUACUAUUAUUCUAUGCAAAAGGACUUCACAGGGGACACAAAAAUUUAUUUCAGGCACUUCCGAGGUUAUUAACCUUGUGGUUUGACUUUGGAAGCAUGUAUCAAAGAAGUGGUUCAUCAAACAAGGAUUUAGUGAAUGUACAUUUGAAGGUAAUGAGUAUUAUAAGAGGCUGUUUGAUGGAAUUACCAACAUACCACUGGUUGACAGUGCUACCUCAAUUGGUUUCAAGGAUUUGUCACCAGAAUGUGGAGACUGUUCGACUGGUCAAACUUAUAAUUACCUCUGUUCUGCGCCAGUAUCCACAACAGGGCUUGUGGAUAAUGGCUGCUGUUUCAAAAUCCACUGUUCCUUCAAGGCGGGAAGCUGCAGCUGAAAUCAUACAAGCUGCUCGUAAAGGUUUCAGCCCAGGAAGUAAGGAGAACAGUUUAUUUGUUCAAUUUGCUACACUGAUUGAUCACCUGAUCAAGUUAUGCUUCCAUGCUGGUCAGUCAAGAUCAAGGACAAUUAAUCUCUCAACUGAAUUCAGUUCUCUGAAGAGGAUGAUGCCCCUGGGAAUUGUAAUGCCAAUUCAGCAAUCUCUUACUGUUAAUCUUCCGACAUAUGAUGGGAAUCUGGGUGGUUCACUUAUGUCAAAUAUCUUUUCAGCUACAGAUCUUCCUACUAUAUCAGGCAUUGCUGAUGAGGCAGAAAUUCUUUCUUCUCUUCAGCAGCCUAAGAAAAUUAUUCUAUUAGGCAGUGAUGGUCUUGAGCGCCCAUUUCUUUGCAAACCAAAGGAUGACCUUCGGAAAGAUGCUCGCAUGAUGGAGUUCACUGCAACGAUCAACCGAUUGCUGUCCAAAUAUCCUGAGAGUCGUCGAAGGAAACUCUAUAUUCGAACAUUUGCUGUGAUUCCUCUGACAGAAGACUGUGGCAUGGUAGAGUGGGUGCCUCAUACUCGUGGACUUCGGCAUAUUCUUCAAGACAUCUAUAUUACCUGCGGAAAAUUUGAUAGGCAGAAAACUAAUCCUCAAAUUAGACAAAUUUAUGAUCAAUGUCAAGGUAAAAUGCCGGGGGAUGAGAUGCUAAAGAACAAAAUCCUUCCAAUGUUUCCUCCCGUCUUCCACAAAUGGUUCCUGACAACAUUUUCAGAGCCUGCUGCAUGGUUCAGGGCCCGUGUUGCUUAUGCUCACACGACUGCUGUUUGGUCCAUGGUUGGGCAUAUUGUGGGACUGGGUGAUCGGCAUGGUGAAAAUAUUCUUUUUGAUUCUACAAGUGGUGAUUGUGUUCACGUUGAUUUCAGUUGCCUAUUUGACAAAGGUUUGCAAUUGGACAAGCCUGAGCUUGUUCCUUUUAGGCUAACUCAGAACAUGAUCGAUGGCUUAGGAAUAACUGGAUAUGAGGGUAUCUUUUUGAGGGUUUGUGAAAUUACACUUUCAGUACUGAGGUCGCACAGGGAGACUCUCAUGAGUGUGCUCGAAACUUUCAUCCACGAUCCUCUUGUCGAAUGGACGAAAUCUCACAAGUCCAGUGGUGUAGAAGUGCAAAAUCCACAUGCACAGAGAGCAAUUAGUAAUAUUGCUGCAAGAUUACAAGGAGUGGUUGUUGGGGUUGGAGCUGCGCCAUCAUUGCCACUUGCUGUAGAAGGUCAAGCUCGUAGACUAAUUGCUGAAGCAGUCUCUCUCAAGAAUCUUGGAAGGAUGUACAUAUGGUGGAUGCCUUGGUUCUGAAGAUUUGGAUGGGUAGAGAAGUUUUUUCCGUAACUUUCGGACAGUUUAGCAGGGUUCUCUUCUAGCUCUUUCUCUGCAAGGCAAGCAAAUGUGACAACGGCAUGGCUGCUGUUUGUUGACCUGUAACCAAUGAAGUGGUGACAAUUCUGUGGUACAAUUCCAGUAAUUCAGUUUAGAGAAAAAUGAAUGAUACUAAGAAGAGAAAGUAUAAAAGACGUGGGUGUAUAAUAUACCCAUUGAGCUGAAGAUGUUGGCGGCGGAGGAUGUCUCCAACACCGACAGCAUCCAAAGCCUUCCAAGCAUUUUGCCAUAUGGACAAAGCAAAGCCAGUGACCCUCAAAGUGUCCGAGGAUUCCAACACCAAACUUGGGAUACCCAACCUGUGAGUAUAAAUGAGACAAAGUAAUAAUGAAGACACAGAAAAAUGGUUUGGUUGUGAAGGAAGUGGAAAAGAUACC